rfam:Triticum aestivum genome assembly, contig: Triticum_aestivum_CS42_TGACv1_scaffold_320764_4BL
UUUCUACUCCCUCCGUCCGAAAAUACUUGUCCUCAAAAUGAAUAAAAAGAGAUGUAUCUAGAACUAAAAUACAUCUAGAUACAUCCUUUUUUAUCCAUUUUGAUGACAAGUAUUUCUGGACAGAGGGAGUAUUUG